AAUUAGGUUACAAUUAUGUGUCUUAAAUAAUUACCGUAUGUUCUAGUCCUGUCUAGUAAUGUAGUUAUUUCUGUGUUUCACAGAUGGAGCUUGUUGCGGCAUACAUUUUCAAUCGCAGACUGUUCAGGGAAAGGAGAUAUCGGGACCUACUCAACCCACUACAUGUCAGUGAUGAACACCUGUUGCAGGUGUAUAGAUUUCCCCGUCAGGAAAUCAUCAGGCUCUGUGAUGAGUUUCGCCCCCACCUGGAAAGGAGAACCAGGAGGGCACAUGCACUCCUAACACACACCCAGGUUCUGGCUACACUAAGGUUUUUUGCGAGUGGCAGCUUUCAAGGUGUUAUUGGAAACGGUGUUGGAAAUGACCAAUCAAGGGCCAUUGAUAAAGUAACUCGGGUACUUUGUGAAAAGGCCAGUCAUGAGAUAAAGAUGUCAACCACAGCAAUAGAUAUUAAUAGAAUUUUUAAGAUAGUUUUCAUGCAUUUCAUAAUGAUAAAUAAUGCAUUAAUGAAUUUUCAACUUCACAGGAGACACUGCGUAUCCUCUGGAGCCAUUCCUGAUGACCCCAGUUGCACGGCCGACAACACCUGGGGAGGAACGCUACAACAAGUCAUCACAGGACAAGAUGCGUUGUCGAACGGACCUUUGGGAUCCUCAAGUCAAGGUGUAGGUGCCUACAGAAGUCAGGAGGAAGUUUGCAGUAUGACCCCAAGAAGACUAUGAAGAUUGCGACUUCUUGUAUGCUCCUGCACAACUACUGAGUGGAUCGCUGCAGAAGAAGUAACAGUUCAGCCUGUGAGAAACAACAGACUGAUUCCUGGUCAAGUUGUCAGGCAGGAAUUUAUUAGAAACUUCUUUUCCUGAGUAUAGAUUGCAUAUGGUGCACCGGUGGCCGAGUGGUCAGCGUGUGUACGUGGUGAUCCAGAGGACUCGACUCCCACCGCAAGACACUGAGAGUUUUCAACCAUUGACAAGUGGCGGAGGGUUACCAACAUGCUGCCCGGCAGAUCUUCAGUCAACCCUAACUUCAGCGUCUUUGAUCAAGAGGGGCACCACCUCCACACCACUCAUUCUUAUCACCUAGUUUGAUACCCUACUUGUCCAUCUCACAUGCCCCAUGUAUCUCAGCAUUCUGCACUCUUGGCUCCAUGUCAUCCUCUCCAACUUGUUGGUUCGUAUAGCAUAACCGGCCUCACAUACAUAGAAGUGUUCAAUAUACCUAGGCUAUAAUAUUAUAUUUAAGGACUCUUAUACGAGGUAUCGCCCCAUACAGAGGUGUCGAAGUAAGUCUGUCUGAUGGUAGGCUGGCUGACUGCUGUCGGGACCCAAGCCAGCAUGCCCUGGGGGUUGUGUGCGGGAGGAGGAAAGAGGGAAAAGGACAAAUGGUGUGUGUGUCAUUAUCAGGGGUAACCACAGUGGAGUGCAAACACUCAGUAGUUGUAGUCAAGGCUUAAUUAAGUUGAUGAGUGGUGUUAGACUGAAUGAGCAGGUUUUUUACCACAUGUUAGUGGGAACACUUGAUAGGUUUUGUUUGUGUGUUGGUGCUACUUGUUUCUUGUGUUUACAUGUUAGUUUAUAAUUAGACUGAGUUCUAAGUGUUAUGAGCGACAAUUUAGUCUUGUAUGGCUGAAUCCUGUCCCUUGACCCUUAAUUCAUCAUCAGAAUCUUUAAACAAAUAUAUUUACCUUAAGUAAUGUUCUUAAAGUCACGCUGCCCAUAUUAUUUGGCAGAUGAUAACCCUGUAUGCAAUAACGGUGCCUUAUAAGACUUGGUAAAUAAACUACUAAUUUUACUCUCUGGUUUAAGUGAUCAACAAUUAAUUCUACUUUGAGGUAUAAUUAACCAACAUUAUUAAGGAGUGCCCAUGCCAGGCACGACAUUAAGAAUAUUUUUCUGUUGACCAGCAGACUUACUAUAGUCAAACCAUUUCAAAAUGUCUGUUGAGGCAGUGGCUUCUGCAGGUCCUUUCCUCCCUUCUGCUUUGCCACACAGUUCCAGUUACCUAUUUCCUCUGUUUCCUGUCCCCUCUUUCACAAACUGGGCACCUAUAAUGCACCCCUACUUGAUUUACAUUUCUCAGCCCUGAGCAUCUCUUUGUGGCACCACUUAACACUCCCUGUGCACAGGGCAGAGUUUAUAGCCAUUUCUCUUCCACAUCAACUACCUUCCUGUAUAUAUGAUUUCUCAGUAAUUACUUAUUUGUUGUGCUGUAUUAGCUGUUACGUGCUACAUCAAGCUGUAAUAUCUACCCAAGCUGCGGGUUAAUCCAAUAAAAAAAAAAGUGAAUGACUAA